UACGUAGGGUGCGAGCGUUGUCCGGAAUUAUUGGGCGUAAAGAGCUCGUAGGCGGCUUGUCGCGUCGGAUGUGAAAGCCCGGGGCUUAACUCCGGGUCUGCAUUCGGAUACGGGCAGGCUAGAGUUCGGUAGGGGAGGAUCGGAAUUCCUGGGUGUAGCGGUGGAAAUGCGCAGGAUAUCAGGAGGAACACCGGUGGCGAAGGCGGAUCUCUGGGCCGAUACUGACGCUGGAGGAGCGAAAGCGUGGGGAGCGAACGGAUAGAUACCCGAGA
rnacentral:rRNA from 1 species